AACGAACGCUGGCGGCAUGCCUAACACAUGCAAGUCGAACGAGACCUUCGGGUCUAGUGGCGCAGGGGUGCGUAACGCGUGGGAACCUGCCCUUAGGUUCGGAAUAACUCCCCGAAAGGGGUGCUAAUACCGGAUAAUGUCUUCGGACCAAAGAUUUAUCGCCUGUGGAUGGGCCCGCGUUGGAUUAGCUAGUUGGUAGGGUAAAAGCCUACCAAGGCGACGAUCCAUAGCUGGUCUGAGAGGAUGAUCAGCCACACUGGGACUGAGACACGGCCCAGACUCCUACGGGAGGCAGCAGUGGGGAAUAUUGGACAAUGGGCGAAAGCCUGAUCCAGCAAUGCCGCGUGAGUGAUGAAGGCCUUAGGGUUGUAAAGCUCUUUUACCCGGGAUGAUAAUGACAGUACCGGGAGAAUAAGCUCCGGCUAACUCCGUG
rnacentral:rRNA from 1 species